CUGUCGCUCAGGCUGGAGUGCAGUGACGUGAUCUUAGUUCACCAAAACCUCCCCUUCCUGGGUUCAAGUGAUUCUCAUGCCUCAGCCUCCCCAGUAACUGGGACUACAGGUCUUGAAUGCAGGAUGUGAAGCAGGUUCACUGUGUACUACUUACCAACUUGUUUGAGUCCAUUGAGAGCAAAAGUGCUUACACACAACACAUUACAGGAAGCGGGUUUUAUUACUUACAGUGCUCCUGGAAAUUAUUCUAGAGGACUGCGUAUUUAGAGACCAAAACUGGAUUUCUUUAAAAUAAUUUAGUCUAUGACAACGUCACUGGACUCAGAUUUCCUUUUACUGUAUUUCUCAAGGAAACAUUAUCAUUUUGUGAUUCAAAUUGUUUGUCUAGGAUUUGCCUUUAUUAUUCCUUUAUUUUUUUUUAAUCUAGAGAUAUAUUACAUAUGAAUUUUGAAACUGUUUACAUUUUGUUCUCUUAAAGUUUUUACUUUAAAAAAUCUCAACCAAGAAUAGGGUUUACAAAAGUGAGAGACCAGUUUGCAACACAUAGCUAGAAAUACAGGAAACAGAGUGAGCACGCUGUAGUGAAAUCUCAAAUCCUCAGGGAAUGAAGCUGGCAAUUUUGUCUUCGGAAUGACUCUUCCUAUGGGGCUUAAUCCUAUCAGCAAAGGUGUCUUACAGAUGAAAGCCCUACAGGAAGAAAGAGCAAAACCACUUUGCAGUGAUAUUUGUCUGAACUUCCCUGUAAGUAUUAAGGAUUUUGAGAGUUUCCCCAUAGUGAAUGCCUUGGGUAGCUGAGGGAGGAGGCUGAAUUCCCCAUUCCUCCGUGUUGCCUUUUAUAACCAUAGUAAUGCUCUCUAGUCUCAUAUGGCAUUGAGUGCUGAGGCAUAGUCACUAUUACUGUGUUAUGGCACUAGGUCCCAUAACAAUCCAUGAACAUUCCAGUAUGCAUUGAUAGGGGUGGAGAGUAUGAGUGAACCCCUUAGUUCACUCAGCAUCUAGUAAGCAUUUACUGUGUUCAGUUACCCACCACAAAGAAGUAUAAAGCUGGCUGUUGUCCUCAGGUAUUUUAUAGACACUAGUAUCCACUUUUGCAUGAAUGAUACCAGGCAUUGGUAUUGUAAUGUUUAUGCUAAACCCCUAUUUCAGCCUUAACUUACAUUUCUAAGUAAAAAACCUGAAAUUACUUAUAACAGCAACAAAACUAUAACUAAAAUGGGAAUAACAGUAAAAAUAAAUAGUGUUUAGCACUUACCAAUAAAUAUUUAGCAACCAUGUAAGUGUUUUUUUAAUAUCAGGUAGUUUCAUAUUAUUCCAUUUUAUAGCUCAGGAAACUCAACCCUAGAGAAAUUAUAUAACUCACCUAGAGAGACACAGGUAGUGCACAGCAGAGCUGAAAUGUUAGUCUUUGUCAGGUGGGCUCAGGGCCAGAAUGAUUGGUCUGGCUGUGUGAUCUUGGGGAAAUUGAUUGAUUGGUUGAUUUAUGAGACCGAGUCUAGCUCUGCUGCACAGGCUGGAAUGCGGUCGCAUAAUCUUGGCUCACUGUGACCUCCGCCUCCCAGGCUCAAG
rnacentral:lncRNA from 1 species